ACCAGCAUGCAUUGCGCGCCGAUCGAUUCUGAGCUGGACUGGUUCAUCUCCAACGAACCUAAUGAUGAAGGAUCCAGACCUGUACCCAACGACAGUGACUGCACUUCAGGAAUGGCCGCUCUAGAGUUCGUUGUGGCUUCAGUGUCUCAAUGAUGAUGAUUACAGACCUGUACUGAAUGACUGACUGCACUUCAUUAUUCUGAUAUGAGGUCCAGACGUUCAGGACCCGGUCGCUGCAAAGGUUGUUCUGCAUUGUCUACUCUCAAAUCUGCACGUGAUCAAUGGUUGGUGUUUUGCAUCGUCUUGAGGAAGGACGUCACCUAGAAGCCAUCAUAGCCAAGAGAGCAAGACCUUCACGGAGUGAAGGAAUUCAGAGUCAUGAUCAUUCAGUGACGGCUUUGGCAUAAUUGCGGUGGUCUCGUUGAAGGUGCCUGGCUUUGGAAGAGGCUGCCGUGUAGGAAUUCAGAGUCAUGAUGAUUCAGUGACGGCUUUGGUAGGACUGCAGGGUCUCGUUGAAGAUGCUUCAGUGACUGCUUUGGCAUGAUUGCGGCGGUCUCGUUGAAGGUGCCUGGCUUUGGAAGAGGCUGCCAUCUUAACAACCACGCUCUUCGUCCAGCCAUCAGGACGGAGCUGCCUGACUAGCAUCGCUCCGGAUGAAAGAUGCCCACGCCGGAACUAAGGAGGUCAUCGGGAUGGCUUUGACUUGUGCGAGAAUAAUGUCGCCCAAUUCUUGACGAGGUGUUCAUGGCUGAUCAAAGAUGAUGUGGAGGAAUAAUGAAAGACUUGUCCUGCACUGUCGACUCCCGAACUCUACAGAGAAUCUGCAAGUGAUCAAUGGUUGGUGUUUUGCAUCGUCUUGAGGAAGGACGUCACCUGGAAGCCAUCAUUUUCCAGCCAGAACUUCUUCAUAAGAGUCGGCCUUCUCGUGCUGCAGGAGACGUGAUUUUGUUUGCUGGGCCAUCAAAAUCAUUUAAUGAUGUGGAUAUUUAUAUUUUGAGGAAACAAAUAAAAGUGCUUUUAAUAAAGAAUUUCUGAUUAAUCCUGAAGAGGCAUCUGGUGUUAUAAAAUGGUAAAUCUAAACUCUUAACUACAUACGGUGUAACAUUACUCAGUCUUAUAGUUAAACUGAGGCAUUUCCUUAAAUUAAAAUUCUGAGGCUAUGAAGUAAAAUUGCUGAGUGAAUAUUUAAUCUGGGUUUUCAAAGAAUACUUUGCAUCAAUUGUACAAAACAAUGUUGCAUUAAUGGUACAGAGAUGAGUUUGAAAAAUAAAUGUAAUUGUAACUUAGGCAUUUAAGAAAUAAAGACAGCUCACUGAA